GCCAGGUGGGGUGGCACACACCUGUAAUCCCAGGGGCUCAGGAGGCUGAGACACGAGAAUCUUGGGUUCAAAGCCAGCCUCAGCAACUUAGUGAGGCCUUAAGCAACUCUGUGAGACCCUGUCUCAA
rnacentral:sRNA from 1 species